ensembl:lncRNA
AAAUGAGGAGGCUGCCAACACAAGUCUUUUGGAGAAUGGAGUGUUUACUUUUAUUUUAGAUCAGACAAGGGAAAGAAGAGUGAAAGAUCUACUUCAGUAAAAUAUUCAAGAAGUGUUUUGUGAAUGCACGAAAUGGAUCCCUGUGGAGAUGGAGAAUGAGAUGAAGAGAAAUCAGAAAGACUGAUUAUGCUGAAACCAGUGCUACAAAAGAGGAUGCUUGAAAGGACAAGUGUGUUUCUCAGCCACUUGUCCUUCAAACAACAUGAUUGUCCUUGUAUGUAUCUGCUUCAUCCAGUUUAUCAGCAUCUCUCUUGAUAAACAUGUAUUUCCACAGUCAUUCAGUGAGUCAACAUGUUUGGAAACAAAACGCAGCAUUCCUUCUUGUUCAAAUGAAACAAAGAUUCAGGAAUUACUUACUAUACCUGACUUUUGUGUCUCAUCCAAAUUGAAGAUGCUAAGCACUCCUGGCACUGAAAACAAACAAAAAUCUGCACAGUUAAGGCAGAGAGUGGGAAUUGAAACUGGAAAAUCUGGAUGGUGAGAAAAUUAACAGGAACAACAAAAUGUAUUAGAUCAUGAUAAAAUUAUUUGUCUCACAGCCAUAAACAAUGUAAAGGGGAUUUAAUAAUUGUUUUGUCAAGAAGACCUUGUUGUAGACAAAGACUCAUGCAAUAACUGUUGUAAAGGUACACCACAAAACAAGAAAGCAUUCUCUGACUGCAGCAGAGUUACAAAUGUACAUGUAAAUGCGUAUGCAAUCCGAGAAACUGAUUGCAACUAUCAAUAGGGAUUUCUGUGAACAUCUGAUCACACGUGCAGUGUAACAAAUACAUUGGGCACAGAUAGUAAGUAGAGAGUCCAAACUCUAACUCAUAGAAUGAAAAACUCAUCUUGUCACCAAAAGAUAGGUUUAAUUUUUUUCCUUAUUUCCUUGUUUCCUUUUUUUUUUUUUUUUUUUUUUUUUUUUUUUAGAAGUGAAGCCAAACAGUUUCAGGAGGAGCAGAACUAACAUAUCCAGAUUUCAUAUGGAUUUUUUUCAUAUGGAUCCCAUCCCUUAUGUUUUCUUCCUUGUCUCCACUGCUACCCUGUAUGUUUUGCUGAGUUAAAACAGCAGCACAUAUGUAUAGUUAGAAAAUAAUCAUAAUGUGCUGACUUACUGGCUGAGUGUUACCACUUGAUUACAUAAGAGCCCGAGUUAUAAGUUUUUAUUUAAUGAUCUACUCAGCCAAGUAUUAAUACAACUUGUAAGAAUUUAAUUUAAGGCAAUCCCUUGUGUCAGACUCAAUUGAAUAUGGUUAAUAUAUUUAAAAGUUGGAGGGGAGAACAGUGCUGCACCAGAAAGUCAAUCUGACUGAGGCAACAGAGCAUCUUACAAGCACCACAGGGAAGUGUACUCUUCCUCAUUAAAACUGCAGCAUAAGGUCUCUGAGGAAUGGGAUAUUCUGUUAUGUUUCAUUGCUGGGUAGCAGAGGAGUGGUCUGACAAAAUGGCGUCUUACAUGGAAGUUUGUAUAAAGCAAAGGUGUGUCACUGAAUUCCUUUGUGUGGAAAAAAUGGCACCUCCUGACAUUCAUCAACACUUGCUGAAGGUUUAUGGAGACCUAACAGUGGAUGUGAGCACAGUGAAGUGGUGUGUUUCAGCAGUGUUGACAGUGAUGCGAAAGAACAGCUCAUUCAGCUAUAGGCUAGAUCACUUAAGCUCUCUUGGGCUUCACGAUUGAAAUGUAUGUAUUCUUGUAAUAGAGAAUAGAUUGGAAAACCAGAGUAACCUCCAGUUUAUAAUGGUUUGUGCAUUCUUUGUAAUUGUGGAUUUGAAACAAAAAACUGUGCUCCCCUCAAUCCUCCCCAGCUAAAGAGCUUCUCUGUAAGAAAUAGUGUAUAUGCUCUAAGUCUGUUUUCAUAACAGAUUUGAAUCUCUUAUGUUUCUAUAAUAUUCAGUUUAUUCAAAUUAUCCUUCAUUUGAAUAAUGCUUUAUAAUUUGUUGUAGAUGUAACGCAAGCUGCCUAUGAAAAUUUCAAACUAACUUUGUUUUUCAGAGUCACUCUUUGACUUUUUUUGUUCUUUUUUUUUUAAAUUAUUUUUCUUAAUACAUCUUAUUCUGAUUUUCUUGGCUUAGUUUUUAUUUCUUUGUUUUCUGUUGUUACAAUUUAAGCAUUUUGUCCAGUCUUUGUGAAAGCAGUGUAAUCAAUUCAGUAUAGCAUUAAAAUAAUUCAGUGUAU